GGCAGUUCCAGGGCAAAGGGCGAGAGGGCUGUGGCCAGAGUGGGGAAGCAGGGCAGGGAGCAGCUUAGGAUGAGGGCUGGGUGGAUGGCCGCAGGGCUUGAGCUCCAGGCCUGCCCCCUCUCUCGGGUGCGCCUUCCAGGAGACAAAACGAAAGCACUGGAGAGAGGAGAGGCCAGGAGGCAGAAAUGGGGAAGGGGCUGAAAUAGUCCACGGCCAAGAGCAGGGAAAGGAAGAGGAACAGAGAAAGACAGCAGCAGAAGAGCCACUUGGCAAGAGCUCCUAUCCAGCUGCUCCCGCUGCUGAUGAAGAAAAUAGAGCCCCAGGGGUCAGGCAGGACCUUGGAGAUGCUCUGGGACGUUUCCCCUUUGGAGGCUGCUCGAGAUACCUGGCUGAUAAAGGGCUGAUUUGCAGAGACUUAAUUAUGGCCCGAAGCCCUCAGUGUAAACAAUGGGAUUUCCUACUCAGGGGCUGCAACUCCCAGCCUUGGGUUCGAGUCCAGCUCCAUCUCCCAGGAGAUCCAUCCCUCCAUCCUCUGAGGCUUCGUUCCCUGGGCCUGGGUGGGGUCACCAGGCACCAGGCUUAGCCCAAGGCAGGCAAG
rnacentral:lncRNA from 1 species